rnacentral:rRNA from 1 species
GUGUGGGAUAGCUCGGCGAAAGCCGAAUUAAUACCGCAUGUGGCUACUGGAGACAUCUUCGGGACGCUAAAGGUGGCGCAAGCUACCGCUUUUUGAGGAGCCCGCGGCCUAUCAGCUUGUUGGUGAGGUAACGGCUUACCAAGGCGUUGACGGGUAGCUGGUCUGAGAGGACGACCAGCCACACUGGGACUGAGACACGGCCCAGACACCUACGGGUGGCAGCAGUCGAGAAUUUUGACAAUGGGGGAAACCCUGAUCGAGCGACGCCGCGUGGAGGAUGAAGGUCUUCGGGUUGUAAACUCCUGUCAUUUGGGAACAAGGCGUAGGUAUUAACUGUACGUGCGUUGAUAGUACCAGAAGAGGAAGAGACGGCUAACUCUGUGCCAGCAGCCGCGGUAAUACAGAGGUCUCAAGCGUUGUUCGGAUUCAUUGGGCGUAAAGGGUGUGUAGGUGGCGCGCUAAGUCGGGUGUGAAGUUUCGGAGCUUAACUCCGAAACUGCAUUCGAUACUGGCGUGCUUGAGGACUGGAGAGGAGACUGGAAUUCUCGGUGUAGCA